UGCGUAGGCGGGCUAAUAAGUCAGUGGUGAAAUCUCUCGGCUCAACCGGGAAACUGCCAUUGAUACUGUUAGUAUUGAGUUCGGUUGAGGUAGGCGGAAUGUGUAAUGUAGCGGUGAAAUGCUUAGAUAUUACACAGAACACCAAUUGCGUAGGCAGCUUACUAGACCGACACUGACGCUGAGGCACGAAAGCGUGGGGAGCGAACAGGAUUAGAUACCCUGGUAGUCC
rnacentral:rRNA from 1 species